GCCCGCAUGGCACAGUGGUAAUGCGUCUCACUCGUAAUGAGAAGAUCCGCGGUUCAAUUCCGCGUGUGGGCA
rnacentral:tRNA from 1 species